GAGGGUGCAGCUCAGUGGUAGAGCGCGUGCUUAGCAGGCACGAGGUCCUGGGUUCAACUGCCAGUACCUCCG
rnacentral:tRNA from 1 species